UGUCAGGUGUAUUGUGGAAGCAGAGAACCUGGAUGAGAGGGUAGCAGUGUUCACCCGGGUCAUUGAGAUCCUCCAGGUGUUUCAGGAGCUCAACAAUUUCAACGGUGUUCUGGAGGUGGUCUCCGCCAUCAACUCUGUCCCUGUCUACCGGCUCGAUCACACCUUUGAGGCGGUCCCCGAGAGGAAGAAGAGGAUCCUGGAGGAAGCAGUGGAACUGAGCCAGGACCAUUUCAAGAAGUACCUGGCCAAGCUCAAGUCCAUUAACCCGCCCUGCGUGCCUUUCUUUGGUAUCUACCUGACCAACAUUCUGAA